AAGGAGUCUAACAUAUCUGCGAGUAUUUGGGUGUCAAACCCGAGUGCGCAAUGAAAGUGAACGUAGGAGCGAUCCGCAAGGUGCAGCUUCGACCGAUCUGGAUCUUUAGUGACGGAUUUGAGUAAGAGCAUAUAUGUUGGGACCCGAAAGAUGGUGAACUAUGCCUGAAUAGGGCGAAGCCAGAGGAAACUCUGGUGGAGGCUCGUAGCGAUUCUGACGCGCAAAUCGAUCGUCAAAUUUGGGUAUAGGGGCGAAAGACUAAUCGAACCAUCUAGUAGCUGGUUCCUGC
rnacentral:misc_RNA from 1 species